rnacentral:rRNA from 1 species
GUGGAUUAGAUACCCUGGUAGUCCACGCCCUAAACGAUGUCAACUAGGUGUUGGGUGGGUAAAACCAUUUAGUACCGUAGCUAACGCGAGAAGUUGACCGCCUGGGGAGUACGGCCGCAAGGUUAAAACUCAAAGGAAUUGACGGGGACCCGCACAAGCGGUGGAUGAUGUGGAUUAAUUCGAUGCAACGCGAAAAACCUUACCUACCCUUGACAUGUUCAGAAGUCCGAAGAGAUUUGGAUGUGCUCGAAAGAGAACUGGAACACAGGUGCUGCAUGGUCGUCGACAGCU